UAAAGUAAGCAGUUAUUUGGAGAUUGAAGUAGAUCAUGGAAUUAAAAUACAAACUGCACUCCUCCGUGAUCUCCUUUAUCACCCUUUGAAUCCUCUGUGAGUUCCCUUGAAGUUCUCCAGCAUGCUACAUUUUUCUUCAUCCUGCCCUUUUCAAGCAAAAUUUAAUUCAUGUACUUUGGUUCAGUUCUGACUCCCUGAGUGGUAACUGCUGAGACACGCCCUGAACCGCUGAUUGAGCACCUGGGGAAAGGACCCGGUCAGCCCUGGGAGCACAGGUGAAGGAAAUUUAGUGGUGACUAGUGAUCAGAAGGGGUAGAGUCUGCCUGCACCUCUCUUACACUUCACUUAAGGGUUGACUGACAGUGUGGAGGGAUCUCUGGUUGGUGAUCCAUUCCUUGUGGAGUUUUCCUUGUGAGCUUAGACCUUCAGAGAUGGCAAUGAAGGUGUUAACCCAAGUUGCAAUUGGAGAGUGGUAGAAAAUUGGCACAGCUGUAGGAGGUGGAGAAUCAGGAACAGGAUGAAUUAUGUGGUCACUGGGAGGAAGACAAAGACCACUGGAAAACACCCACACAUAGACAGUGGACAAAGGAAGAAAGGUCACUGUUUUCUUCUCCUUUCUGACAUUCAGCCACUGGUUUAUCAGUUUGCUGCCAUGGCACAAGAAAGCGAGGGGAGUCAUCUUUCAGCCCUCCUCUGGUUCAAUAUUAUAAGACUUUGGCCGCUUCCACAGAUACCCAUCCUUAUGUAAGUAUAACUUGGAAAACUGCAUGGCAUAGAGAUUAAAUGAAAUCACAUUCUGUUUUAGAAAUAGAAAAUUGAGGCUUAGUGCUCCAUCAUCUUUUAGACUAUCCACUGUGGGGGUGUCUGCAAGAUAGCAUCUGACAAUUAAUUUAGCCGCCUAUAGAAAAUGAACUGAUGACUUUCAAAUGGUUUACAAUGAGCAGGAACAGUAAUGUAAAGUUAUCAUACUUUUGACAGUCUAAGACAUGAGGUUAAGUACAGAAUGAGCGAGACGAUUCAUCUACCUUUUCUGCCCUGCAAGUAGUUUCUCCUCAAAUAUGGGUGAGCUUUAAGUAGGUUGCACUUUGCUACUUGUAGUUCUUGUAUCUGCAAGUUUGAUGUAUUUCGGUAAUAAUAAAUAUAAUGUUAUUCUCUACUUCCUCAAGUGAGCAACAUAAAAUGAGUUUUAGGUGCUUUAACUUGUGUUAUGUCCUUUUUAAUAUUAUAUCUGUCUGAUAAAUGUGUAGGAAUUGAUGUAGCAUACCAUUUGCCAUUCCAAUAUCCAUGACAUAGUGCUUAAACCACUUAGGUUUGUAUCAUGUAUCAUAUUUGUUCCCUUCAGCUACGUAUUUAAAUGCUUAUUGGCUAAAUCAUUUCCUUCUUUUCAUAAAAUGUUUCUUCUAUGUUAACUCCAAAAGAUUUCCAGUAGAACAGUUUUUCACAGGACUUAAAAAAAAAAUUGAGAACACUUUCCAGAGGUGGUCAUGAGCAAAUGUAGGGUGUGGAAACUGAAGCAGCCUCUGUGGUUAUCAUCCUCAGAAGAUGGAAAAUCUGCUUGAGAACUCUGGGAAGUCCAGCAGUUUCAUAACACUUUGUACUUCACUUGCUGACCAGAACUGGCUUCUCCCUCCUACAGACAGCCUUUCCCUUGCUGUAAAAUCUUUGUUUAAUGGCUGCAUUCAUUAUGCCGCUACAAAGACAGCUCCAUCUAAACGCUAUGCAAUGACUACAGAAGCUAUAACUUAACUACUUAGCUUUAGAAAAGCUCACAUACUGGAUUUUACCAGUACUUACCAGCAUUCUGUGUGAUCUGGUGGAAGAAAAACAAUGUAGACUCCUUAUAACCUAGAAUUUGAAUACUCCUUUAUGGCUGUAGGGGUGGCAACACAUGGAAAUUAUACUUACAGAAAAGGCAACAGCUCCUUGAAAUGCAGCUCUUCUUCAAAAGGAAAAUCUAAAAGCAUUACUGGCAACUGUAUAUUUACCAUUAAUCAGUGAUUCCAUGGUAAAUCUACUUAGCCUCACAAGGUAAUUCAGAUGGGAAAGGAUCUCUCAAGAGGUGUCUGUCAUACUCUGGCGUAAAGCACAGUCGCUGAUGAGAUCGGGUUGGGUUGCUCAGGUUUCAUAUUUACAUUAAAAUAUGAAUAACGCCUUCACCUUGAGGCCACUUAGAAGGAAUACAAAUCACAACCCUGCAAGUGUAGUUCUAUGGACUAUCUUCAAGACAUGCCCGAGCAUACCAAACAAAUAUAUAAUUUACCAAAUAGUAGCUAGCUUACUACAUUUUCUGGUAGGAUGCCGAAGUGAGGUCUCUGUGUGGGUAGGAGAUGGUCAGAUUUGGAAGUUUAUUAUGGAAGCUACCCAUAAAUAUGCCCUGCUUUUAAAGAAAGUUUUAGAGAAGACAACUCUUCAGUAAUUAUUUCCAAAUUAGGUUCUUAUUAAAGUUAAUUAGAGCAUAGUGCAGCCACAACUGGUGCAUCCAAAUGCUGCAGACAUUGCAACUCCGGCUUUGACGAUGUUAAUACCACAAGUCUGUGCCUCAAAGAGCAAUUCAAAUCAAUUAACUUGAGAGAAACCCAUGUUUAUGAUUUUCAUGUUUGUUAGCAGGUAAAGUCUAGGUAUUAUUGUGGUCUAGAUUACACCUUCGUGUGAAGACUACAAAGGGCCUGGGCCUUGCAAAGACUGUUCUUCAAACUGGUUAAAAAGCACUUCUUUUUUACAUACCAGAAGUAAGGUCACUAGCCACUGGGUCCCUGAGAUGUCUUUAGGACUGGAUUCCUUGUUGUAUUUGUAUUUUAAAUAUCUGGUUAAAACAGCACAGACCUUUUUUUCUGUCUCCCUUCAGAUAUGAUCUCUCAUAUGAGCCAUACAUCUCACCAUAUGAGCUGAUUACUCUUUUUCACCUUUGUUAGUUAUUUACAAUGAAACCUUGGAAUGUUGAUUCCCUUACAUCUUUUCUGUUGCAAAUACAAGCACUGUAAAAGAAUUCAGCCCAUGGAAACAGGCUUAAGCUACGGCCAUUUACUGAAGUGCCAGCUGAUUAAGUUUAAGUCUGGUAACAAAAACUAACAUGCUGAAAAAAUGAAAGUUUAACUGAACUUUACAAAAUAUAGCAAAAGCCAUGAAAGAUUUUAGUGCAUUUGGACAGUCAAUAAUGUAAUUUCAUCUUUAGCAUAAUGUAUAUAUUUUUAAGGAUCAAAUGUAUAUGCUUUACUAAAUGAAGUUUUAAAAGAAUUCUUAAAGUCCAGUUAGUAAUGUUUGAUAAUGUUUGAGUCUUGCAGAUUUGGAAGGCAGCAAAUAUCCAACUCUAGCUGUCAAGAUGGCAUUUUCAGCAAGAAAGUAAGGCUACCAUUAUAUUAAUCUAAGUCGGUGUUUUACAUGGGGAAAAAAAGAGGGAAAAAAAAAAGGUAGUGAAAAACAAGGCACAUUUCUGUACUCUAGCUGAAAUUUUCUCUGUAUACUAUACGCAGAGGAUGCACAUGUGAUAACUUCCCAUUAGCAGAAAUAUCCUACAUAGCCCAUGUAAAAGAUAUGUGUGCUUUUAUAAAAAUGAAAGAAAGUAACCUCUAAACCUCUCACUGUCAGUGACCCCUUUGUUCACAUAAAUCAGUAUAGUAUGUGCUCCUGCAUCAUCACUGUUCCUAUGCUGGAAUGACAGUACAUAUGAGCAAAGCAUGAGAAAUGAGAUUUUGAGUGCUUUAUGGGUGUGUCAAAAACUGGUGCUUAUAGAGAAAUAAUCUCAAUUUUUAUAAAAUUCUCUCCAGACUCACUAAAACUCUUUUUCUGAAUGCCUUUUCUAUCUUCUGUGGCAUCUGCUUGCAGUUAGAAAUGCAAGAGUCAUCAGAAAACUUAAUUCAGUGGUAAAGGAUCUCCCAGCAGAAAUUCACUGGAGUAGAUAUUUUUAACCAGUCCUUGAUUUCUCAGGCAUUCUCUAAGUUUGUCUCCAACACAGUCUCCCUCAUUCUCAUGUAAAAGUCUCUCCUUUUUGUGAAGUCAUUAAGGUAAAUAUUUAGAUAGUUGUGAGGUUCUGCACAGUUCAGAUUCGUACACGCUGUGAAUGUGAAUUGCUCGUGUUAUCUUGUUCUGUCAGUAACUGUCUGCCUUGCCAAAUUCCAAGUAAGUGCAGAAAGCAAAAACCUCAUUUGUCUUAUUCUACAAUGUAGUGCCACCAUGAUAAUUGCAAGGCAAACAAAUAGUUUACUGCUUCAAUUGAGGUAAGUAAACAUUAACUAUUUUUAUUAACUAAAAUGGUGAAUGCUGACAGCAGAGAAGCUGAAUGGACUCAAGGAAAUCAUUACAAGACACAUGGAGAUGUGUGCCAUGAUGAGAGACGGGCUGCAGCCUGGGAGACCCAUCAGGACUGGAGCUGUCAGGAGUCAAUGCUCUGCAAAAUCUUUAUAGACUAUAUGACGUUAAAAAAAAAUUGCAGAAAGGGAAAAUGCUUUUGUCCACUUGGCAACGGUGUUCUACGCCAAGCAAGCAGCCAUUUAUAAGUCCUACAUGAAAUUAAAAAGGUCAAGAUAUUGUUUUCCAUUUCUGACUUUAACUGUGGUUUCAGUCAAGGACAUUGGUGGGGAAGGUAUACACCAGUUUCCUUUUUCUUCUCUAAAAAAGAUGUUGUCUGAAAGUUCUGGUCUGUGAGAGUGGCAGCAGACAGCAUGUUUGGGGUUAGCCUGAGGAAGAAAUGAGUGUUUUGGGGUCAAACCAAAUCACAGUUUAGUUGGUCGGGUCAUUUGAGGUCACAGCUCAUUUGGACUUGAAGCUCAUCUGAGGACACCAGUUAGAAUUUGGGGGUUUUGACUUGACCUGUGGGCUGCCAUGGGUUUAUGAUUUUUGGUUAGUGGUAUUCCAUGCCAUAUCAUCAAAUAGUGCACUGGUAGUUAAGGAGUCAGUGCUCCAGUUCUGUAUGCUUGUCACAGAACAGAUGAACUAUAUUCCCUAGAAGAAUGUUUGCUGUUCUGUUUCGGCUAUCUGUGCAGAGGAAGAGAAAUGAGCCUUUUGCAGAUGACAGGACACCUCUUUAUUUGACAUUAUGGCUUGCCUCUGAUCCUGGCUGUAUCACCUCAGGUAACUCAGAGUAAGGCCUUCACUUUUCAGGUACUCUUUUUCAUUUUAUUUGACUCAUUAGCUUUAGUUCUAAAAUACUGUGUUACGUUGUAUUAUAUUAACAUGUAUUGUGUUGCAUUCUCAUAUCUUAUUUAGUAAAUUAGUUUGUCUCACCUCACACUGUUGCAACUGUUUUCUUGUUUUUUGGCCCUCCACUCUAUCCAUUCCACCAUUUCAAUUUCCCAAAGCAUGGGCAAGUGUGUUACCCUACCCCACAAGACAUGGAACUUGACAGGACAAGCCCAUAAACUGUUUGUAUGGAAUGACCUAAAGUCCCAGCUAAAAAACAUUCUGGACUCAAACAACCUCAGGUGACGUCAGAUGAAGGUAGGUUGUAGCUGGAUCAGUUUACAGCAAAUCUGAAAUACAACCAGAUAUUCAAAGACCUUUUGUAGGAUAGCAUGAAAUACAUAACAUAAUCGUUCAGCAAUACGUUAUCCUACAAUUCUUUUUCUUCCUGCUUCUCUCAUUGCUAAUAAAACAGAUGCUCUUUGGUUUCAGGCUUUAGCCUAUUUUUAGAAUCUUUUUAUGAUGUUGGCUCUCUGAAACGUAGGAACUGCUGUGAGAAAAAGAAAAGCUAUUGCUGCGAGGCAAGAGAAGGGCCUACAGGUGAAGUAGCCUCUAACAGUAAGAGCCUUAAUCUCACCUAUUUGUUUCCUCACUUCUUUUGUUUUUGUGAAGUAACUCUGUUCCCUUAGACACAUGGUAUCACACCUUUUCUGCCUCUACUUAAGCAUUACUGUGAUAUCAGCUAUAAUGGGACAGAAAGUACCACAAUAAUAGCAGGGUGGCAAGGUCUUUACUUGCAGUAACUGAGGACGAUCCCAAAUACAGCAGCUAUGAACGCAAAAAUGAAUGAAAAGAGUGGCUUACCUUUGGAAGGCCUCAAAUAGACAGUGAUAUCUAGUGAGUGGUCCUCAUCUCCGCUGCCAACCCUUAAAUAGAGUCUGGGAAGGGGCAGAUCCUGCCUCCACCCCUUCCGGUCACCCCAGUGAACCACAUGCACCUGAGCUCCCCUGGGUUGGCCCUGCCUUCCCACCAGGUGCUCAAUCACUGGUUCAUGUUGUGAGUCAGCAUUUCAGCUACACCAGCCAAAGUCCUUCAUUAGUGCAGCACCAGCUGAUGAGUCCCAUCAUUCAUAGGGGCUGCAGAGCAGGCAUGGUCUCAGUGCCUGGUGUUUCUGUCGCUGUAGGAAACAUGCUGGUCCUAAGAGGAAAAAGGUGUGGAAGAGCUGUUAUUUCAAUGAAAGAACCUGACAGAAAGGAGGUGAGUGUUUGGGGAAGCAGUGAAUGAAAUGGUGCUAGCAGAAAGCAGGCAUUUUUUAUUGCUUGUGCAGUAAGAGCUCAUUUUUUCAAACUGUUAGAUUCCAAUUGGGGCAUCAGAUGUAGCACUCGUGCAUGAGGGUUUCAGAUAAAAUGAUGUGGGUGGGCAAAUUGACUGUAAUGAUCUAAAUAGUCAAGCUAUUCCUACAAUAGGGAUUGCUGAUAGAUAACAAAAUGCAGAGUCAUGGAAUCAGCAUAUGGAACUCCUUGGUGUGCUGUGGUCUGACCAAUAUGACCAUAUAUUAUUGUGUUCUUUAACGUGAUAUAAAUUAUGGCGUAACUUUACUAGUUAGAUACUGCCUACAAUUAAAUAGUUUUGCAUUAAACUACCGUAAGCAGUAGUUCCUUCUGGGAUUUUCAAUCUGUAGGCCCAGCUGUGCCUUAGCUGCCACUAACGAAUAUGGUGUGCCUAAUUGAAAUAGGAAGGAACACACCCAGCCUUAUGGUUACAGUGCUCAGCUGUAUCACUGUUAGCAGUGGAGUAAUCUCUUCAAAAACCCAACAGUUUUACUGGAAUCUACCAGCUAAGUCCUGGCUGAAGAUGAGGACAUCUCUGUAAAGCAGGGCUUGCCUUUUUUUUUAAUGGUAGGUUUUAUUUUGUUAGUUUGUUUCUGUAUUUAAAAUUCUAAGCUAAAGAGUGAAUCUAGCAAUAAAAUACAUUUCUGAGUGCUGAUGGUAUCUACUACUGCAGCUUUGAACUGGCUUGGUUACAGAUAGAGAAGUCUGCAUACAGGAAAUUAUGAGCAGUUUGUAACACCUUUGGUUUCCUGUUGGCUUACGUUGAUUAAACUGAUUUUUAAGUUGAAUUUUUCAGAAUCCACGUGCG